AGCGAACGCUGGCGGCAGGCUUAACACAUGCAAGUCGAGCGCCCCGCAAGGGGAGCGGCCGACGGGAGAGUAACACGUGGGAACAUACCUUUUGGUUCGGAACAACUGAGGGAAACUUCAGCUAAUACCGGAUAAGCCCUUACGGGGAAAGAUUUAUCGCCGAAAGAUUGGCCCGCGUCUGAUUAGCUAGUUGGUGAGGUAACGGCUCACCAAGGCGACGAUCAGUAGCUGGUCUGAGAGGAUAAUCAGCCUCACUGGGACUGAGACACGGCCCAGACUCCUACGGGAGGCAGCAGUGGGGAAUAUUGGACAAUGGGGGCAACCCUGAUCCAGCCAUGCCGCGUGAGUGAUGAAGGCCUUAGGGUUGUAAAGCUCUUUUGACCGGGAAGAUAAUGACGGUACCGGGAGAAUAAGCCCCGGCUAACUUCGUG
rnacentral:rRNA from 1 species